rnacentral:lncRNA from 1 species
UUUUGUCCGCGUCUGUACACUACAAUGGGUACGCGCAAAACGUGUACUACACCAUACGUUUGCAAACUAAGGUAGCUGUCGGUCGCGCACGCGCCUGCAAUACCAACUAGACGGAAAACUUGUGACAAUGAAAAACUUGUGAGCAGUGACGUGGAAAGUAAAUAAAUCGUGUUCGCGAUAACAUUCGCUGAGAAACUGAGGAAAGUGAUUGUGUUACGAGAAAUCGUUGGAGCCGGCGCACGCUUGAUAUGAAGAAGCUAUCCCUCAGCAGAGAUGUGGAACUACUCAAGCGUCGAGUCGGGGCAGCAGCUCAGCAGAAUGGAUAGGAUACGAGUGUACCUAUCCGAGUGUGUUGUCUGCUUCUGCAUUCUAUUCUUCAUCGUCUGUGUGGGACUUCUCCUUUAUCUCUUCUUCCAUUUGUAUAGUACCGUCACCACAGCGGGGAAGAUAGCUGGAACAUUAGCUGAGAGCUAAUGAACUAGUACUUUGAACUGAAUCUUGUGUUGUGAUCUGGUACAACAUUAAUUUAACAAGUCGUUCAAUGUAAUUAUGAAUUUGUUUUAAAUUAAUUCUCAAUUUAAAAUGAGUCUCCCGAUAUCUUUCAAUAUGUUACAGGAAAGGUUUUAAUUCCGCAUUGAAGCCUGGAUUUUUUAAAUUAAAUUACGUGCAUCGCAAAAGCUAAUUGGUAAGCCAAUAACGGAUCCGAGCUUGUAAUAUUGAAAAAACUGCCUUUAAUUUAUGAACUAUUUUAUAAAUAUUUUUACUGAAGAGAAGCAAAUUACUAAUAAACAUGAGAGUAAUAAAUAAGAGAGAAAUGGUCAGCGGAUAAUUUGGACUUGUGGUAGACCGUACGAAGGUUAAUAGCUGCUUCCCAUCAGUUUUCUUUUCUUUCUAUAUAUGCACGGCUAAGUGUCCCCACUGCACCUAAUAGUAAGUGGAGUGGAGUCCAAUAGAAUGUCGAUUGACGAGAGAUGAUUACCCCUCAGCAAUCGAUACAAUUAUGCCGGCCUGUUAGAACCGAAUAUACACAGGCUGAUCCCGGAACGCGACACACUUACGUAGGCCACUAUGGCGGGUUUUAACACCUUGUGUACGGCGGUCGCUAUCCUUUCUGCUGACCAUGAUUCAAAUCGGCGAAUGAACGUUGUGAAGCUUGGCUCAACCACAAGUUACAAAGCGGUACAACAAAUUCAGUCAUUAUAUUUUGUAUUAUUAAAGAUCUUCUGGUAUGUUACCUCCUUUGAUUAAAUGUCAUGUAUUAUUAUAAAUUGAUUUCCCGUCUUCGGCUCCUGUCAGGUAUUUAACAAUAUCAAGUUUUUGUAAACCUAGUAGAAUUACAAUAAAUUUAUCUCACAAUGUGUUCAAGCAAUGUAAAUAGAUUAUAAUAAUUAUUACUAUUAAACAAGAAAUGAGAAUUAGAUUAAAUGUAGGCCCAAAUCCUUUAAAAAUAUGUGCCAAAGUCAAGUAUGAUAAUCAAUAUUAUGGUAUUUAAAUUGUAGUUUAUUUUUUAUCGAAUAAGUCGAUAUACAUAGUUGUGAUUAUAAAUGUAGUAUAUUAUUUUUUUAUUCAGUGUACAGUAUUUUUUCAUUGUUAAAAUAUGAAUAUAAAAUGCUAUGCAGAAAUGUUUUAAAUAUUGUUGAACACAAUAUAUUUUCGGAAACAGUAUUAACAAAAUUGCGCCAAUUAAAGUUAUUUCAAGGAUAAAAAUAAAUAACAAGGAAGUAAAUGUGAGGUUUAUAAAAGAAUUAACGCGGAAUUGCAAAAUCGAGACUUUAUUUUAUAAUGUAUUGAGUCAUUCGAUCUUGAACUGAUUGCUUGGAGUUCGACUGCUAAUCUGCGCUAAUAGAAAUGAUUCAUGAUUGACGUUUAUGUCUUCAUUCCAUAUUUAAAUGAUUGACAUGAGACACAGGCGUGCAUCACUAUUCGAAUAAAAAAAAAUGUCUAUGAAAUUAAUCGAAUAAUGAACAGUAAUUAUAAAAUAGAUAAGUAUUAAUGAUUUUCUAUUUAAAUAUAAUCUUUAAUUUUUGUAAAUUUGAAAAAAAAUAUGGAUGUGUUAUCUCGUAAAUUGAUAAAUAUAUUGUAAAAUGCCAUCAUUAAAAAUUUAAUUAUUUGCUGAUAUGUUAGAUGAAAUCAUGUUAUCGUAGUAUUUACUUACAUAGAAUAAAUUGUUACUUAUUAAACUAAUAAACACUAGUCAAUAGUAUUAAAAUAAGUAUUUUAAACUUACGUCAAUCACACGUGUAGGAGAAAUGAAUGUCUGGUUAAACCAAACAUAAAAUAGAUAUUAAAAUAUAUAAUUUUCUAUAUUCAAUGUGCAUAUAUAUUCGGCAUAUCAUAAAUUUUCCCGAAUUGUAAUUAUUAUAUUAGUAAAUAAUUACUAAUAAUUCCCCAUAAUUCCUCGUGUACUCGAUUAUUAAUUAAUAUUAUUAUAAUAAAAAAUGUUGGUAAUAAUAUUA